rnacentral:rRNA from 1 species
UGGGGAAUCUUGCACAAUGGGGGCAACCCUGAUGCAGCGACGCCGCGUGAGCGAUGAAGCCCUUCGGGGCGUAAAGCUCUUUCGACCGGAACGAUAAUGACGGUACCGGGAGAAGAAGCUGCGGCUAACUACGUGCCAGCAGCCGCGGUAAUACGUAGGCAGCAAGCGUUGUUCGGAGUUACUGGGCGUAAAGAGUGCGUAGGCGGUUUUCUAAGUUCGGUGUGAAAUCUCCCGGCCUAACUGGGAGGGUGCGCCGAAGACUGGGAAGCGGGAGUGUGGGAAAGGCAGGCGGAAUUCCUGGUGUAGCGGUGAAAUGCGUAGAUAUCAGGAGGAACACCGGCGGUGUAGACGGCUUGCUAGACCAUAACUGACGCUGAGGCACGAAAGCGUGGGUAGCAAACA